rfam:Brassica oleracea var. oleracea cultivar TO1000 chromosome C8, whole genome shotgun sequence
GGAAUAUAAGAAACCGUAUCUUAAACUUUAAUUAAAAAUCUAAGAACCGGCUCUUAAAUAAAAUAUUUAAGAGCUGGUUCUUAACUUUUUUAGUUAAAAGUUAAGAGACGGUUUCUUAUAUUUC